AGGGAAAGGUGAAAAGUACCCCGGGAGGGGAGUGAAAUAGUACCUGAAACCGUGCGCUUACAAUCCGUCAGAGCCUGCGCCACUUUUGGUGGGUGGGUGAUGGCGUGCCUUUUGAAGAAUGAGCCUGCGAGUUAGCGGCAUGUCGCGAGGUUAACCCGUGUGGGGUAGCCGUAGCGAAAGCGAGUCCGAAUAGGGCGUUUGUAGUGGCAUGUUCUAGACCCGAAGCGGAGUGAUCUACCCAUGGCCAGGGUGAAGCGACGGUAAGACGUCGUGGAGGCCCGAACCCACUUAGGUUGAAAACUGAGGGGAUGAGCUGUGGGUAGGGGUGAAAGGCCAAUCAAACUCCGUGAUAGCUGGUUCUCCCCGAAAUGCAUUUAGGUGCAGCGUCGCGUGUUUCACUCUGGAGGUAGAGCUACUGGAUGGCCGAUGGGCCCCACAAGGUUACUGACGUCAGCCAAACUCCGAAUGCCAGAGUGUGAGAGCGCGGCAGUGAGACUGCGGGGGAUAAGCUUCGUAGUCGAGAGGGAAACAGCCCAGAUCGCCGGCUAAGGCCCCUAAGCGUGUACUAAGUGGAAAGGAUGUGGGGUCGCGAAGACAACCAGGAGGUUGGCUUAGAAGCAGCCACCCUUGAAAGAGUGCGUAAUAGCUCACUGGUCAAGUGAUCCUGCGCCGACAAUGUAGCGGGGCUCAAGUACACCGCCGAAGCCGCGGCAUUCACAUAACACCCAUGCGGGUCUACGGGCCUGUGUGCAGUGGUGUGGAUGGGUAGGGGAGCGUCGUGCAGCCAUGGAAGCGCCGGAGUGAUCCAGGUGUGGAGGCUGCACGAGUGAGAAUGCAGGCAUGAGUAGCGAAAGACGAGUGAGAAACUCGUCCGCCGAAUGACCAAGGGUUCCUGGGCCAGGUUAAUCCGCCCAGGGUGAGUCGGGACCUAAGGCGAGGCCGACAGGCGUAGUCGAUGGACAACGGGUUGAUAUUCCCGUACCCGUGUGAACGCGCCCCUGGUGAAUCAGUGAUGCUAAGCGCCCUGAAGCCGCCUUCGAACCUUCGGGUUCUCCGGUGUGUGGAUGCGCGUGAACCGAUCUGGUAGUAGCCAAGCGAUGGGGUGACGCAGGAAGGUAGCUGAGCCAGUCAGUGGUAAUACUGGUGUAAGCGUGUAGGGCGUGACCUAGGCAAAUCCGGGUCACACACAGCCUGAGACGUGAUGCGUAGCCGAUUGAGGCGAAUUCAGUGAUCCUAUGCUGCCGAGAAAAGCCUCUAGCGAGCUUUCACACGGCCCGUACCCCAAACCGACACAGGUGGUCAGGUAGAGAAUACUAAGGCGAUCGAGAUAACUGUGGUUAAGGAACUCGGCAAAAUGCCCCCGUAACUUCGGGAGAAGGGGGGCCUCGUCUGGUGACGGAACUUGCUUCCUGAGCUGGGUGGGGCCGCAGAGACCAGAGAGAAGCGACUGUUUACUAAAAACACAGGUCCGUGCGAAGUCGUAAGACGAUGUAUACGGACUGACGCCUGCCCGGUGCUGGAAGGUUAAGAGGACCGGUUAGCCAGUAAUGGCGAAGCUGAGAAUUUAAGCCCCAGUAAACGGCGGUGGUAACUAUAACCAUCCUAAGGUAGCGAAAUUCCUUGUCGGGUAAGUUCCGACCUGCACGAAUGGCGUAACGACUUCUCUGCUGUCUCAACCACAGACUCGGCGAAAUUGCAUUACGAGUAAAGAUGCUCGUUACGCGCGGCAGGACGAAAAGACCCCGGGACCUUCACUAUAGCUUGGUAUUGGUGUUCGGUUCGGUUUGUGUAGGAUAGGUGGGAGACUGUGAAGCGGGCACGCCAGUGUUCGUGGAGUCGUUGUUGAAAUACCACUCUGAUCGUAUUGGACAUCUAACCUCGGACCAUGAUCUGGUUCAGGGACAGUGCCUGGUGGGUAGUUUAACUGGGGCGGUUGCCUCCCAAAAUGUAACGGAGGCGCCCAAAGGUUCCCUCAGCCUGGUUGGCAAUCAGGUGUCGAGUGCAAGUGCACAAGGGAGCUUGACUGUGAGACUGACAGGUCGAGCAGGGACGAAAGUCGGGACUAGUGAUCCGGCACCGGCAAGUGGAAGCGGUGUCGCUCAACGGAUAAAAGGUACCCCGGGGAUAACAGGCUGAUCUUCCCCAAGAGUCCAUAUCGACGGGAUGGUUUGGCACCUCGAUGUCGGCUCGUCGCAUCCUGGGGCUGGAGUAGGUCCCAAGGGUUGGGCUGUUCGCCCAUUAAAGCGGCACGCGAGCUGGGUUUAGAACGUCGUGAGACAGUUCGGUCUCUAUCCGCCGCGCGCGUUAGAAACUUGAGGAAGGCUGUCCCUAGUACGAGAGGACCGGGACGGACGAACCUCUGGUGUGCCAGUUGUUCCGCCAGGAGCACUGCUGGUUAGCUACGUUCGGAAGGGAUAACCGCUGAAAGCAUCUAAGCGGGAAGCCUGUUCCAAGAUGAGGUUUCUCACCCCCUCGAGGGGGUAAGGCCCCCGGCAGACCACCGGGUUGAUAGGCCAGAACUGGAAGCACAGUAAUGUGUGGAGGUGACUGGUACUAAUAGGCCGAGGACUUACCACAA
rnacentral:rRNA from 1 species